AGUGAACGCUGGCGGCGUGCUUAACACAUGCAAGUCGAACGAGAACGGAUUAUAGCUUGCUAUAAUUGUCAGCUAAGUGGCGCACGGGUGAGUAAUGUAUAGGUAAUAUGCCUCUUACUAAGGGAUAACAAAUGGAAACGUUUGCUAAUACCUUAAACUCCUUAUUAACAUAAGUUAAUAAGGGAAAGAUUUAUUGGUAAGAGAUUAGCCUGUAUUGUAUCAGUUAGUUGGUGGGGUAAUGGCUUACCAAGACUAUGACACAUAACUGGUUUGAGAGGAUGAUCAGUCACACUGGAGCUGAGACACGGUCCAGACUCCUACGGGAGGCAGCAGUGGAGAAUAUUGCACAAUGGACGGAAGUCUGAUGCAGCAACGCCGCGUGGAGGAUGACACAUUUCGGUGCGUAAACUCCUUUUAUAUGAGAAGAUAAUGACGGUAUUAUAUGAAUAAGCACCGGCUAACUCCGUGCCAGCCGCCGCUGUAA
rnacentral:rRNA from 1 species